rnacentral:rRNA from 15 species
ACGGGUGAGUAACACGUGGGCAAUCUGCCCUUCACUCUGGGACAAGCCCUGGAAACGGGGUCUAAUACCGGAUAUCACUUCCACUCGCAUGGGUGGGGGUCGAAAGCUCCGGCGGUGAAGGAUGAGCCCGCGGCCUAUCAGCUUGUUGGUGAGGUAAUGGCUCACCAAGGCGACGACGGGUAGCCGGCCUGAGAGGGCGACCGGCCACACUGGGACUGAGACACGGCCCAGACUCCUACGGGAGGCAGCAGUGGGGAAUAUUGCACAAUGGGCGAAAGCCUGAUGCAGCGACGCCGCGUGAGGGAUGACGGCCUUCGGGUUGUAAACCUCUUUCAGCAGGGAAGAAGCGAAAGUGACGGUACCUGCAGAAGAAGCGCCGGCUAACUACGUGCCAGCAGCCGCGGUAAUACGUAGGGCGCAAGCGUUGUCCGGAAUUAUUGGGCGUAAAGAGCUCGUAGGCGGUCUGUCGCGUCGGAUGUGAAAGCCCGGGGCUUAACCCCGGGUCUGCAUUCGAUACGGGCAGACUAGAGUGUGGUAGGGGAGAUCGGAAUUCCUGGUGUAGCGGUGAAAUGCGCAGA